rnacentral:lncRNA from 1 species
GCCAACAUCUCUUCAAAGCCUUCAUUCAUUCAUUUAAUCCAAACAGUAACCCAAGGAGACCAUCAUUAUUACUCCCACUUUACAGAUCAGAAAACUGAGGUGGAAAGGGUAGGUCACAGCUGGUGGUCAGUGGUAGAGGCAGAUUCAAGCCCAGACAUUCCGGCUCCAGAGCCUACACUCCAACUUUGUGGAGGGGAGUGACAGAGGAGGAUGCACAGCUACUAAAUUGUAAAGUCAGCAAAACCAUCCUCCCCAAGGUGGCAUUUCCCCCAAAAGCAAGCUAUUGCAUUAAUUCAACAAAUGUUUGUUGAGCAUCUACUAUGUGGGAAAGACCCUCUUUUUGUUCCAGUCAUCGGCAGCUGGGGGCUCUAGGUCCAUCCCUGCCCUCCCCGAAGCAGGAGAGUAACCUUGUAGACUUCCUGUUAGGGCCCUGGGGUCUCUGGGUGAAUUUGAUGCAGACUCAGCCAUUAGCCUGGCUGGGCCACAAAAUCAGGAAGCUUAGACCAGUGUUGUGGAACCUUGAUUCCUGUCCCAGUUUUGUCAUUUCCUGCCUCAGCCUCUUUGCAACUCCCGGCCUCAAUUGCCUCACCUCCAAAAUGGAGGUCUUAAUGACAAUGGUCUGGCUUCACUCACAGGGUUAUCGUGAAAAUCAAAAGAGAUUGCUCAGGGAAAAGCCUCUUCAAACUGGAGCUCCAGGUGAUGGUUGUCAUCUGUCGAUGUUGCUCUCUGGUGAGGAAUCCGAGCCUCAGAGAGGGAGUGGGCUUUGUCCGGCAUCACGACAGCUGAAGCCCACAGGCUAGGAUUUGAACCCAGAUCCUGAAGACGCCAGGGCCUUUGCCCCUGUCCACUAGCUGUUGUGGCCUGCUUCACAACCAUGUCUCCUGGCCCCCGCUCCAGGGCUCCAUGACUGCUGAUUAAAAGAACAGCUUUGCCAUA